rnacentral:piRNA from 1 species
UGAGAAUUUUUGUCCAUAUUCAUCAGGACU